rnacentral:lncRNA from 1 species
CUUCCUCCCUGUCAGGUUGUUUGUGUAUCACAGUGCUGCUGGCAAAUUUUGAAACAAAAUUAGAGUUUGGCAAUCAAUUAGAGCAGUCAGACAGCAUGCAGAGCCCUUCACAACAGACCAAGACUCCUGCUCUUAGGAUUACCAGCAUGGCUAUGGUAAUGGAAAAACCUAGUUAUAGAGGAGGGGAGCUGCUUCAAAAUCACUGUGUUUUUAAAAGCCAGAAUUAACACUUACUCCACCAUACCUCAAGCAAUGAAAUCUGGUUUCCUGUCACUCUUUGUCUAGUGAUUGGAUGCUCUCAUGUGUAAGAAGGUGAGGG